rnacentral:rRNA from 1 species
GUCGAGCGAGAACCGGAGCUUCGGCUCCGGGGACAGCGGCGAACGGGUGAGUAACACGUGGGUAACCUGCCCUCGGCACCGGGAUAGCCCGGGGAAACCCGGAUUAAUACCGGAUGGCCCUUCCAGCUCUCGGGCUGGUAUGAAAAGGUAGCUUCGGCCUCCGGCCGAGGAUGGGCCCGCGGCGGAUUAGCUUGUUGGUGAGGUAACGGCUCACCAAGGCUCCGAUCCGUAGCUGGUCUGAGAGGACGAUCAGCCACACUGGGACUGAGACACGGCCCAGACUCCUACGGGAGGCAGCAGUAGGGAAUCUUGCACAAUGGGCGCAAGCCUGAUGCAGCGACGCCGCGUGCGGGAAGACGGCCUUCGGGUUGUAAACCGCUUUCAGGAGGGACGAAGCCACUCGGGUGAAUAGCCCAGAGGGUGACGGUACCUCCAGAAGAAGCCCCGGCUAACUACGUGCCAGCAGCCGCGGUAAUACGUAGGGGGCAAGCGUUGUCCGGAUUUAUUGGGCGUAAAGCGCGUGUAGGCGGCCAGGUAGGUCGGUUGUGAAAAUUGGAGGCUCAACCUCCAGACGUCGAUCGAAACCAUCUGGCUAGAGUCCGGAAGAGGAGAAUGGAAUUCCUGGUGUAGCGGUGAAAUGCGCAGAUAUCAGGAAGAACACCGAUGGCGAAGGCAGUUCUCUGGGACGGUACUGACGCUGAGACGCGAAAGCGUGGGGAGCGAACAGGAUUAGAUACCCUGGUAGUCCACGCCGUAAACGAUGGGUGCUAGGUGUGGGGAGGUGUCGACUCCUCCCGUGCCGCAGCUAACGCAUUAA